AUUGAACGCUGGCGGCAUGCCUUACACAUGCAAGUCGAACGGUAACAGGUCUUCGGAUGCUGACGAGUGGCGAACGGGUGAGUAAUACAUCGGAACGUGCCCGAUCGUGGGGGAUAACGAGGCGAAAGCUUUGCUAAUACCGCAUACGAUCUACGGAUGAAAGCGGGGGAUCUUCGGACCUCGCGCGGACGGAGCGGCCGAUGGCAGAUUAGGUAGUUGGUGGGAUAAAAGCUUACCAAGCCGACGAUCUGUAGCUGGUCUGAGAGGAUGAUCAGCCACACUGGGACUGAGACACGGCCCAGACUCCUACGGGAGGCAGCAGUGGGGAAUUUUGGACAAUGGGCGAAAGCCUGAUCCAGCCAUGCCGCGUGCAGGAUGAAGGCCUUCGGGUUGUAAACUGCUUUUGUACGGAACGAAAAGCCUCUUUCUAAUAAAGAGAGGUCAUGACGGUACCGUAAGAAUAAGCACCGGCUAACUACGCG
rnacentral:rRNA from 1 species